rnacentral:rRNA from 1 species
UAGGGAAUCUUCCACAAUGGACGCAAGUCUGAUGGAGCAGCGCCGCGUGAGUGAAGAAGGUUUUCGGAUCGUAAAGCUCUGUUGUUGGUGAAGAAGGAUAGAGGUAGUAACUGGCCUUUAUUUGACGGUAAUCAACCAGAAAGUCACGGCUAACUACGUG